UCUGGGUAGCUACGGCUUUGCCGUGUUCUUGAGCGCCGGCGACUUCUCCGACACUUCUGGGCUCGGUUUCCGUCUUGACUGCGUCUAUUGAAGUGAAAUUGGGAAGCUUGCUGGGUCGAUUGCAUCAGAAGCAUUAGUUCAUCAUCAGUUGAGUUUCGGCAGUGAGUUGAUUUGGUUGGAAUCGAUUUUCCAAGUAUGGGUUGCAUGUUCAGAAUGAGUGUGUGAAAUUGGAAACCUCUUGAUUUCGUGUUGAUGAAUCUGCUACUGGUAUUGGAAUUUUGGAUUGGGGUUGAUUGCUUUGUUGUAUGCUUACUGUGAGAUGGUUGACUGGUGAUGUAAGGGUUAAUUGAAUUAUGUUGUUAGGUCGGAAUUUUGGCUUUUGUUAAUCAAGAAGUAAAAGUAGAAGUUA